ACACAGAAGCCUCUGCCCAGUUUACAGUGCCACAGGUUUCAAGACACAGCUUCACCUGAACGGGAUGCUACAGUAACAGACUUAGCUCAUGGUCAAAUCCUAUUUUUCUCCCCAGAAGCUGUCUUGAACGUGUAUCACUGUCAGUGUAACAGAUUGGCAGGACCACAUCUGGAAUAUGAGCAGUUUGAUCACCCAUGUUCAAGACAUCUCCCAAACCAAUGCCUCUACACUGGGAACUUUUCUUAUGUGAUUACUUGAAAAUCAAGCAUAAGCAAAUGUGAGGAUUUCUCUCAACACUGUGUUUUUGUCACAAGUAAAACAGAUCGGUAGCAAUGUUUAACAC